rnacentral:lncRNA from 10 species
GAAAGUUCUAUUGUGCUAUUUACUACCUGGCAGGGAAUAGGGUCUUGUGCCCACCUCAUUGACCGUCACUUAGACCAGGUAUUAAGCAGAAUAAUUCUCUUUGACAAACAACAGCCUUAUGGAAUCCAUGAGAAUGUUCAGGGAACCCUGACAGAGAUAAGAACUAGUUUCCAAGAAUAGGAAAAGAUGGUAUGGCAAAUCUUUGCCUUUACUUUGAUCUGUGGCAGGAAACUGGUUUUUAAGAAAAUCUGGGUUGUUCCUCCACCUCCUUUUCUUUGUCUUUUAUAUUUCUGUGGGUAUGCUGGUUUCUAGUUAUACACAUUAACUGAACACCUCAUCACUCACCAACUCUGCCCCUGUGGCUACAGUUUGUGUAUGCCUCUCUCCUGGAGCAGAGGAGAUCCUUGGUCUGAUAACACACUCAGUCUUCCCAAAGUCAUGGCUCUAAGGGAAACAAGCCACACACGAAUCCAACAGGCUUAGACAGAGGACUUGGAAUUCCACAUGCUUGGCUCAACCCUGGAAGUGACUUGGGCUCUUGCCUCACCACAUGAAGAGCUCUAAGCAUUCAGGUAAUUAUGGUUUUUGCCCUCAGAAGGCCACAAAUGACUGGAAUCAGUGGCAUGGAGAAUAAGAGAGAAAAUGCAGAAACUAUUCACUCCUGCUACAGGACAAUGGGUAGACAGAACUGCAAUUCAGAUUCUAGAGCCCCUGGGAAGACAGUUAAUCAGUAGUCCAGCACAGAACCAUGUUUGAGGAGAGUGGAGAAGCCAACAGUGUUCCAGAAGACGUGCUGCCUUCCUUCUCCCCCAAGUUUGAUGCUGCUUGUUUUGUUAUGCAACAUGCCCUUGAGUUUCUAUCCAACACUGGAGCUUUUUACCCAGGUCCAUCCACACCUUCUAGCCCAAAAUGCCCUGUGCAAAUUGUAUAUAGAUUAAGACACCUCUUGUGCACCACACUCAACCCCCAAUCCUCUCAGCCCACCACUUACUCCAGCCACUGUUGCAGUGACCAGUUCUGAUGGGCUCUGGCAACCCCUACUUCAGCCC